CCUACGGGGGGCAGCAGUGGGGGAUAUUGGACAAUGGGGGCAACCCUGAUCCAGCGACGCCGCGUGAGGGAAGAAGGUUUUCGGAUUGUAAACCUCUGUUGACGGAGAAAAAAAUGAUGGUAUCCGUUUAGAAAGCCACGGCUAACUACGUGCCAGCAGCCGCGGUAAUACGUAGGUGGCAAGCGUUGUCCGGAAUUACUGGGUGUAAAGGGAGUGUAGGCGGGAUAUCAAGUCAGAAGUGAAAAUUACGGGCUCAACUCGUAACCUGCUUUUGAAACUGACAUUCUUGAGUGAAGUAGAGGCAAGCGGAAUUCCUAGUGUAGCGGUGAAAUGCGUAGAUAUUAGGAGGAACACCAGUGGCGAAGGCGGCUUGCUGGGCUUUUACUGACGCUGAGGCUCGAAAGCGUGGGGAGCAAACAGGAUU
rnacentral:rRNA from 1 species